GACGAACGCUGGCGGCGUGCUUAACACAUGCAAGUCGAACGGAAAGGCCCUGCUUUUGUGGUGUGCUCGAGUGGCGAACGGGUGAGUAACACGUGAGUAACCUGCCCUUGACUUUGGGAUAACUUCAGGAAACUGGGGCUAAUACCGGAUAGGAGCUCCUGCUGCAUGGUGGGGGUUGGAAAGUUUCGGCGGUUGGGGAUGGACUCGCGGCUUAUCAGCUUGUUGGUGGGGUAGUGGCUUACCAAGGCUUUGACGGGUAGCCGGCCUGAGAGGGUGACCGGCCACAUUGGGACUGAGAUACGGCCCAGACUCCUACGGGAGGCAGCAGUGGGGAAUAUUGCACAAUGGGCGGAAGCCUGAUGCAGCAACGCCGCGUGCGGGAGGACGGCCUUCGGGUUGUAAACCGCUUUCGCCUGUGACGAAGCGUGAGUGACGGUAAUGGGUAAAGAAGCACCGGCUAACUACGUG
rnacentral:rRNA from 1 species